rnacentral:rRNA from 1 species
AACGAACGCUGGCGGCAGGCCUAACACAUGCAAGUCGAACGCCCCGCAAGGGGAGUGGCGCACGGGUGAGUAACGCGUGGGAAUAUGCCCUUCGGUUCGGAAUAACACAGGGAAACUUGUGCUAAUACCGGAUACGAUCUACGGAUGAAAGAUUUAUCGCCGAGGGAGUAGCCCGCGUAGGAUUAGCUAGUUGGUGAGGUAAUGGCUCACCAAGGCGACGAUCCCUAGCUGGUCUGAGAGGAUGAUCAGCCACACUGGGACUGAGACACGGCCCAGACUCCUACGGGAGGCAGCAGUGGGGAAUAUUGGACAAUGGGCGAAAGCCUGAUCCAGCCAUGCCGCGAGAGUGAUGAAGGCCUUAGGGUUGUAAAGCUCUUUCGCCAGGGAAGAUAAUGACGGUACCUGGAAAAGGAGCCUCGGCUAACUCCGUGCCAGCAGCCGCCGUAA